UACACUCCUGCGGGAGGCAGCAGUGGGGAAUAUUGGACAAUGGGCGCAAGCCUGAUCCAGCCAUGCCGCGUGAGUGAUGAAGGCCCUAGGGUUGUAAAGCUCUUUCACCGGUGAAGAUAAUGACGGUAACCGGAGAAGAAGCCCCGGCUAACUUCGUUCCAGCAGCCGCGGUAAUACGAAGGGGGCUAGCGUUGUUCGGAUUUACUGGGCGUAAAGCGCACGUAGGCGGACUAUUAAGUCAGGGGUGAAAUCCCGGGGCUCAACCCCGGAACUGCCUUUGAUACUGGUAGUCUUGAGUUCGAGAGAGGGGAGUGGAAUUCCGAGUGUAGAGGUGAAAUUCGUAGAUAUUCGGAGGAACACCAGUGGCGAAGGCGGCUCACUGGCUCGAUACUGACGCUGAGGUGCGAAAGCGUGGGGAGCAAACAGGAUUAGAAACCCCAGUAGUCCCA
rnacentral:rRNA from 1 species